CCAUACCCGUCGGCUUCCAAGGCAAGGAAAAGGAAAAUUUUUUUCUCAAGUCCUCAAGUCCAUCUGUGUGACACUUCUCUUUCUCUCCCCAUUUCUGUUCUCCUUCCAAUCUUAAGCCCAAGCACUUGUUAUUUCAUCUUUUCAAGAGGAGCCAAGGAUUUCGUGUGCUCUCUAAUUCCCAAGCUGAAUCUGCCUUUCCUCUUCUGCGUUUUGUGUUUUGGGAAGAGAUCCACUAAAGCUGUGUAUGUCGAUGGAUCUUCCUUAUGGUGACUGCAUGCCGACAUCGGAGAAAUCGACAGAGAGCUCCUGCUCCUUGAAGAAGAAAUGCUGUCCGGCGUUAAACACGUUAAACAAAAGUGAAAACAGAAGAGAGGGGGGGUUUGAGUUGAGAGAGAGAGGAGGAAACAAUGCACAUGACCUUCACUAAAAGGACCAAAACACCCUUGGUCAAAAGAAUGAAAUAUAAGGAACUCAAGGGGCAAAAAUGUACACACUCGACUAGACAGAAGGACAAAAGUGGAAGAAGGAAGUGCAAACAAAAAGAUUGUUCAUUCCUGUUCAUCUGCGCAUAGCGGCUUUUAAGAUAUAA